rnacentral:rRNA from 1 species
CCUACGGGAGGCAGCAGUGAGGAAUAUUGGUCAAUGGACGGAAGGCUGAACCAGCCAAGUCGCGUGAAGGAAGAAGGAGCUAUGGGUUGUAAACUUCUUUUAUAGGGGAAUAAAGGUAUCCACGUGUGGAUAUUUGCAUGUACCCUAUGAAUAAGCAUCGGCUAACUCCGUGCCAGCAGCCGCGGUAAUACGGAGGAUGCGAGCGUUAUCCGGAUUUAUUGGGUUUAAAGGGUGCGUAGGUUGUUUUUUAAGUCAGCGGUGAAAGUGUGUGGCUCAACCCUAAAAUUGCCGUUGAAACUGGCAGACUUGAGUGUGUUUGAGGUAGGCGGAAUGCGUGGUGUAGCGGUGAAAUGCAUAGAUAUCACGCAGAACUCCGAUUGCGAAGGCAGCUUACUAGGCCAUAACUGACACUGAGGCACGAAAGCGUGGGGAUCAAACAGGAUUAGAUACCCGGGUAGUC